rnacentral:pre_miRNA from 1 species
GGCGGAAGGGGAAAGGGUCCCUCAGCCCAGAUUGCAAGAGGGUGCAAGCCAGGCCAAGGGACCCCACCGGUGCAUG